CCUACGGGAGGCAGCAGUAGGGAAUUUUGCGCAAUGGGGGAAACCCUGACGCAGCAACGCCGCGUGAUCGAUGAAGCCCUUCGGGGUGUAAAGAUCUGUCAGUGGGGACGAAACCUGACGGUACCCACAGAGGAAGCACCGGCUAACUCCGUGCCAGCAGCCGCGGUAAUACGGGGGGUGCAAGCGUUGUCCGGAAUCAUUGGGCGUAAAGAGUUCGUAGGUGGCACGUUAAGUCUGGUGUUAAAGGCGGAAGCUCAACUUCCGUAGGGCACUGGAUACUGGCGAGCUUGAAUGCGGUAGAGGUA
rnacentral:rRNA from 1 species